CAGUCCUACCGGCUCGCCAGAUUCCGCGACGCAAGUCCAGCGUCAGAGGGGACCUCCGCACCCAAGCUUAGGGUGAGGACUGU
rnacentral:tRNA from 1 species